rnacentral:rRNA from 1 species
UAAUACAUGCAAGUCGAACGAGAUCUUCGGAUCUAGUGGCGCACGGGUGCGUAACGCGUGGGAAUCUGCCCUUGGGUUCGGAAUAACUUCUGGAAACGGAAGCUAAUACCGGAUGAUGACGUAAGUCCAAAGAUUUAUCGCCCAAGGAUGAGCCCGCGUAGGAUUAGCUAGUUGGUGGGGUAAAGGCCCACCAAGGCGACGAUCCUUAGCUGGUCUGAGAGGAUGAUCAGCCACACUGGGACUGAGACACGGCCCAGACUCCUACGGGAGGCAGCAGUAGGGAAUAUUGGACAAUGGGCGAAAGCCUGAUCCAGCAAUGCCGCGUGAGUGAUGAAGGCCUUAGGGUUGUAAAGCUCUUUUACCCGGGAUGAUAAUGACAGUACCGGGAGAAUAAGCUCCGGCUAACUCCGUGCCAGCAGCCGCGGUAAUACGGAGGGAGCUAGCGUUGUUCGGAAUUACUGGGCGUAAAGCGCACGUAGGCGGCUAUUCAAGUCAGAGGUGAAAGCCCGGGGCUCAACCCCGGAACUGCCUUUGAAACUAGAUAGCUUGAAUCCAGGAGAGGUGAGUGGAAUUCCGAGUGUAGAGGUGAAAUUCGUAGAUAUUCGGAAGAACACCAGUGGCGAAGGCGGCUCACUGGACU